AUGGAGUGAAUAUGAUGAUUCUGUGAAGGUUUAUUGCAACAUGGCUUUUUCAGCACAGCAACAGGAAAAUUUGACUCUGGGUCUGUUCUACAAAAUUAAAGCGUUCUCAGCACAAAAAACAGCAUAGACUGUGAGUGAUGGUGGCCAUCUUGGUUCAUGUGUAAAGACUGAAUUUCAGUGACUACCAAUGGCUAUUUCUUAGAAUGUGGCACUUACCCUGGGUUCAGGCUGUGGUCCUUCUACUGCCCAUGAAUGAAUUGCUCCAUCUGAACAUUCGGGGACAGGCUCAAAGCCAGCUGCACUACGAGGAGCACCUCCACAAUCACAACAGAUCAUCAAAAAUGGGACCACUGGUGGUGGAAGGAUAGUAAUACUAGAGUUAGCACUGGGUGCAAAUAAAAAACAAAACAACCUGA
rnacentral:antisense_RNA from 1 species